GUCUAUCUUCUUGAGGUCAACACCUAAUGUAAAAUGUGAAAAACAAAUAUUACAUUCUAAUUCAGAAGCUUGCGUGGUCGUAGUAUGCAUCAUAAGUCAAUAAUUCAGUAAUAAAUCAAAUAACUGCACUUUUCUUAUCAAGUACAACAUGCAACCAGGCAUUGGAUAAAAUAGAAAAUCAUGCAAUUUUUAGCACAAAUAAGAAUAAGAAAAAUUUGUCAUCUAUCAGCAAGGACAAAAAGUUGAAAUAAUUAGUAAUGAGAAAUAAAUAACAUCAACAAAGCAUGAAAAUUAUAGCAGUAUCAUGCAUCAUGCAUGGCCCUCUGGUGUCAGUAAACUUUAAAAAGU
rnacentral:misc_RNA from 1 species